rnacentral:rRNA from 1 species
CCGCCGGCGACCGGCGCACGGGUGAGUAACACGUAUGCAACCUGGCCGUGACAGAUGGAUAACCCGGGAGAAAUCCCGCCUAAUACAACAUAAUGCCGGGAGGGGACAUCCCCUGCCGGCCAAAGGGGCGACCCCGGUCACGGAUGGGCAUGCGGCGCAUUAGGUAGUUGGUGGGGCAACGGCCCACCAAGCCGACGAUGCGUAGGGGUUCUGAGAGGAAGGUCCCCCACAUUGGAACUGAGACACGGUCCAAACUCCUACGGGAGGCAGCAG